rnacentral:rRNA from 1 species
UACGUAGGGGGCAAGCGUUGUCCGGAUUUAUUGGGCGUAAAGAGCUCGUAGGUGGUUCGGUAAGUCGGAUGUGAAAUCUCCAGGCUCAACCUGGAGGGUCAUUCGAUACUGCCGUGACUAGAGGUCGGUAGGGGAGUGUGGAAUUCCUGGUGGAGCGGUGAAAUGCGCAGAUAUCAGGAGGAACACCCGUAGCGAAGGCGGCACUCUGGGCCGAUACUGACACUGGAGGAGCGAAAGCGUGGGAGCGAACAGG